UACGCUGCAAUGUUGACUGAAAUGCAUAAGAUGGUAUCUGGAAGGGCAGAAUAUGUUGGGACAUCGUACAUUUACACUAGUGUUUGUUCAGAUAUGAUGCGAAACAGCAGUGCUGUUUCCUGAGCGAAGUAUUUGAAUGUUCACAUGAAGGCUGCACGAGGUUGUAGAUACGCACUUUUCCCAAUCUACAAUGCCAACCAUUGGACGGUCAUGGCGCACAAUUCAGAAAGCGGGAAUUGGAAACAUUACAACUCGAUGUGGCCAAGAUGUUGAGUGCGCGAUGAGCAUUACAAUGAGGCUCUAAAAGUUGUUAGAUUGUGGGAUUUUCGUGUGCUUCAUAAUCAGGCAGUACAUUCGUGGUGCAGAAGUGAAUACUAUGAUGGACGGUCUGACCCCAACUGGGCUACGAGCUGCAAUGGUGGACAUGUUCUUAAGUGACCCGGGCAGAGGACUUCGUGGGAGGACAUUAUAAGAGGUUGAGAAGACAUUUGCCAGUGCAGAAGGUGCAACAAUAGAAUUAGGAUGUUUUAGUUUGUUGAUGUUUUAUCAACGUAUAUAAUAUUUUGUUAGUCUGAUAACACAUAACAGUAGGAGGGAAAAACUAGUUUCAUAGACAUUACUUUUUUGGUCAUGCAGAAGUGCCCAACGGUUUAAUCUUGGGU